AUGAUGAUGUGUCUGACUCUACUGCUGGCCACCCUGGGGCUGCUUGUUCAGGGUUCAUCAGGUGAUAUCACCGUGUCUCAGUCUCCUGAAUCUCUGUCUGUUGUUCCAGGUCAGACUGUCUCUAUCAGAUGUAAAGCCAGUAGAUCUAUAGGUGAUGACGUGGACUGGUACCUUCAGAAACCUGGAGAAGCUCCUAAACUCCUGAUUUAUCAUGCUGCAAAUCGUCAGUCUGGAGUUUCAGAUCAUUUCAGUGGAAGUGGAUCUGGAACUGACUUCACUCUGACCAUCAGCAGAGUCCAGACUGAAGAUGCAGGAGUUUAUUACUGUCAGCAGAGUAACAGCCUCCCGUUCACACAGUGAUACAACGUCGUACAAAAACCUCCCUCAGCUGCAGAGGAACUGAUCUGAAUCA